CGGGAUAGAGAAAAGAACGAGUUCGCCGGGUGCCAUGAUUUAGGCUACUUGAAUACUCUCCAUUGAAGGAGAUACCAUGUGGGAGGAAAGUGUCACGUGACAAAUUCACUCAAUGGCGGAGGAUUAAACAGACGGACUAUCGAAGGGAGUCUUGGGGUACUGAACGGAACCUUCCCGACACCUGACCUGGUGUCCUCGCCGACCGCCAUUCAUUUAUGACGUGCCGGCGGGCUAGUGAAUAGACCUCUGUGGGGGCAAGAGGGACCUGAUCAUUCACCUUCACACGCCUCACGCCUGAUGCCCUCCUUUGCAAGCCCGUCAACCACUUCAUUCCCCUUCAGGCCGACAUGAGCUGGGACCCAUACCAUGGCUUUGGAAGAGGCACAACAUGGGCUGUUUUCCACUCGGAAGGAACCACCCCACCCCGCCAGUCCAUGUUAUACAGAUGCAGCCAGAUUUGAAGGGUUGCAUCCGGCAUGUGCCCAAACAUCAGAUAGGAUAUUCUAUCAGCCCCGGUGGCGGACUUUCUCCUGCUAGCAAUGGCUGACCGAAGCUCACUAAGUGAGAAAGCCUUGGAGCAUUCGUCCGUCCACCAUGGGACCGUUUGACGUUUGGGCCGCUUACCGGAAGAGGAGUGAAUACAACUCUCAGCAAUGGAUAGGAUUUUAUCAGUCAACUGCCGAUUAAAAUGUUCCAGCUCAUCCAGAUCAAAGUCAGAGAGAGAGAGUCCCAGACACAAUCUUUUGAAUUCACACCAAUCAGCCUUUUCAAAGUUAAAGGAUGGUUGGCAAGUCUCAUGUGAAUUUGACCCUCCGAUAUUAACAUUGUGGAGGACUAUAAGGCAAGGAAAGUGAUCCGACCCAAGAUUGUCGUCUAGGACCCCCCAUGACGCGACACCUGCCAAACAGACACUGACUAUGGUGAGGUCAAUGCACGUGGAAUUACCUUAUGCAUCAAACCUGGUGGGUGCACCAUCAUUCAGGACUACCAAGUUUGAGUCUUCCAUCCAGGUACAGACGUCCUCACCGUAUUUACAGACUUUGGAGCAACCCCACACUGGGUGAUGUGCAUUGAAGUCCCCAGUGUAUACCAGUUUUAUUAUAUUUGUUUUACUCCGUAUAUUACUCUCGAGUAGUAAGAGCCUGAAUAAUACAGCCCCGAGAGUAGACAUUUAUAAGAACAAAGGGUUGGUGCUUUGUUGGGUAAACAAUAAUUGCCAGUGCCUCAAUGGCUGUGCCGCCAUCAAUUUUUAACGGAACAGUGAUUGAAAGAGUCUGGUAUUGGAUAUUGUGCUUUUUAUAAACUGGUAACCCACCGGCUACAUUAUCAUUUAAGUUUGUAUGAUUUAUAAAAUCUGUAUAAUAGCCGGGGAUUGAUUUUGAUGUAUAUCCCUUAAAUUUAGUUUUUUGGAUGCACAAUAUAUCAAUACUAUUUAUAUCUGUUAGAUGUUUUAACUCUGAAUGUUUACUAGAUGAAAGACCCCCACAGUUGAAUGAUAAUAUUUUUAGAUCCCUAUCCAUUAAGAAUGUUGUUGAACCUGCAGAGGAGAUUAGACCUUUGGGUUUUACCCAUUGGAGACUGUGAGUAAAGUCUACGACUCAUCCUCCCAGCCCUCAGUUUACCAGGUGUCGAGGGACCCCUGUAGUGGUGCGCUGGCAGGUUGCGUGAUGGCCUUGAGGGACGAGCCACCUCAACCCUGCGGUCUUGUACUAAAUUUCCAGAAUUACCUGCUUUUCUUUCAUUUUUAGAUUUCACCAAGUUUGUCUUAAUUCUAUUUUCUAUAUAUUUACCAAAUGAGGCCCAGACGGUCUUGCUUUAUCCAAAAUAACAUUUUUGAUUAGGGUAAUGAGAUCUUUCAUUACAAUUUUAGAGUCAUGGUUUUCCCCCAUUAUUUUAAAAUGAUUGUUUGAGAUUUUAAUAUUAUGAUUUGGAAUGGGGGACGUCUGGGACUCUACCGCACGGUAUGUUGGUGGCUGGCUCUUUACUGGUGUCUCCUCAAUGGCCACCACUUCACUUAUGCUUUUGUAGAAAGAAGAAUGAAUGGACACCAUUGAGUCCCUGCCCGUCACAAUUAAGUCAGAGCAGUCACUGACAGUGGUCAGUGUCUCUGACCACAAAGCGCCGGACAAGGGUUCAACCGACCUGUCGUGGCUUUUUGGUGUUGAUGCCAUUUGACCCCCAUCCAUUGGUGGGGGGUAUUUUUAAUGACCUUGGGAAAUUCCUGGGAGACAACUUUUGUAGAGUUGUUUUUGUUGGCCAGUGGCAUUGAGUUAUUACCCUUUUUGGGUGUGGCCAUAUUUAUUGUUGGGCUAUGACCCCUGUUUGGGGUUGUUUCAUAUCCCUUAUUUAUCCCAGGGUUACAUUUUUGUUGUGCCAUUGUAAUAGAGUUAUGGGUGGACUUUAUGGCAGAGUUAUGGUGGAUGAAAUUUUGAGAGAAUUUUGAGUCCAUUUCACGGAAUAUCCCCUCAGCUGCCUGCCAGGUUAUACAAUGGGCAGCUAUUAUGGUUGCGAUGACUCUGGCCUUUAAGAAAGAGACACACUGCCUGUAGGCAGCUGAGUGGGCAUCACCACAGUUUUUACAUCUGCGGUUUGGGUUUUUGCAAUCCCUAGUAGAAUGUAGACCAGCGCACCUAGCACAUGCUAAUAAAAGUGUACACUUAGGGGCCUUGUGACCAAACCCCUGACAUUUAAAACACCUACCAGGGUCCUCUUGUCUAGGGUGAACAUAUAAGAUAUGGCUCGUGCCACCCACCCUGACGUACCUCGGGAGGCUCGUCUGGGUGAUAAAACUUAUCCCCACCAGCCGGGGUAAUCCCGGUGGUGGUGGGGCCUCCAGACGCUCCAACCCCAAAAUAUGGCACUGGACGCCUGGCGGCAAACUCCAGACGAUCCCCAAGGCCCGCCAGGUCCUCGUUCUCGGGGACCCCAGCCAACACUCCACGAACUUUGUGUAGGGAGUGGGGUAGGGAAGCACGACAGUCAACCCCCAUGAAUUUAAAAAUGCCCAUAUUUAUUAACUUGACAAUUACCUGGGCAGAAACCAGUUCCAGGAGAAGGGCCCCAGAGGCUAGUGGGACUGAUCGUUUGACCAGGCGGGGGAGGAGCUGACCCAGUUCUGAUGCCAGUUUAAAUAUGGACCCCUGGCUGGUCAGCUUCACCCCCCCCCCCCUACAAUAGCUCGAAGGAUACACUUGUGCAUCAUAGUGUUAUGAGUUAAAUGAUGACUAUCCCUGGUGCACAGUGCCUCCCCAAGCACAGGUCGUUUGACUGUCUCCUGGUAUUGUUUUUUUGAAGAAAGGUAUCACCAGCCAUUGUUAACAAUUAAAUUUGUAAUAAAAUCAGUAAGCAAAUAAGAAAAUUUACUGGGGAACCUAGCCCCUAUAUGUAGAAAUGCUAUUAGAUGUUGUGUAAAUAAUA